UUUAGGGUUCUGAUACCAUCAAUUGUGUGAGACCUCUCAGUUGCUGUUAUGUGAGACCUCCAUUCCAGUUUUUACCUUUGACAUUGUUGACCUUAUUUGAACUCUAUUUUUAUUGGUUCUCGUGAUCAGCUGUUUCGGGGCAGAGCGCCGUUUUCAGUUUGAUAGAGCAGACAUGUUGGUUAUUUUGUCGAGUUCUUUAAAAAGGAACUUAAAUAAUGGAAUAAUUUAAUAGUUUAAUACAGUAAAGCACUCACGGGAGACAGGCGAAGAUGUGUUGUGUAUAGUAGCUAGUGUGAUCAAGUCCAUAAUUUGGUCACCGUGUUUCGGUCACCGUUUUGACUAGGAAAUGUCAUUUACUAUAUAACAGACUGUUUAGUGUCUAAGACAAUACAAAAUUGUGAUACAAUUGAUAAAUAAUAAAAAGGACAUUUCGAACCACACAAUCAACAUUGGUUAUUCUUUUAUUAAGUAGUUGAACUCGAACUGGUGUAUAGAAAAUAAGCCAUAGUUACAAUUUAGAAUGUCGGUGACUAUGUUUGAGGAAUUAAACACGUCGCAUUGAAUAUUCACAAGAAACAAUCAUACCGAUAAUAAGAAAAUGUCUAUAUUCCUUUGUUAAAAUUCGUUAUUACAAAAUUGAAGACUUUGACAAUACAUUGCAGCUUUGUAGUAGUGUAUAUUUACUUUUAAGAAUAUUUAAGGCAACAAAAUGAUGCUUAUAUGCUUACAUAAUUUCCUGUGUAAGGGAACAGCGUGGCGUUAGCGAGGUGUUUUAUCCACUUUGUCCACGAGGGUUGGAAAUAUACACUACUGCAUGCACAUGCCAUUAAAAGGGUCAUGAAAUUGGCCUUAAUUUUUUCAAACGUUUUUAACAGAGUUUUAACAGGUCACAAUUAAAUUUCACCCAUUACUUCUUACUAUUUAAUGGGA
rnacentral:lncRNA from 1 species